GGCCCUUAAGACGCAGCUGGAUGUGCCUAGCGGACCCUGUAUAUGUGGGUGGUGUGUUUGGGCCAAGUCCCGAGUGGACCAGGUAGUCAGGUGAUCGUACCAUUGAUUGGUGAUUUGCCCGAGAGGGGCCUCCACAACCCCUCUCCACAAUGCCUCCUAACUCACUCUGCAGCUAGGUUAUUUUUUGCAGCUGACACUGAACGUUCCUCUAGUUUUGCC